rnacentral:rRNA from 1 species
UACGGAGGGCGCAAGCGUUAUCCGGAUUCACUGGGCUUAAAGGGUGCGUAGGUGGGCAAGUAAGUCAGUGGUGAAAUCUCCGGGCUUAACCCGGAAACUGCCAUUGAUACUAUUUGUCUUGAAUACUGUGGAGGUCAGCGGAAUAUGUCAUGUAGCGGUGAAAUGCUUAGAUAUGACAUAGAACACCAAUUGCGAAGGCAGCUGGCUAGACAAAUAUUGACACUGAGGCACGAAAGCGUGGGGAGCAAACAGG